rnacentral:rRNA from 1 species
GAAUCCCGUCUUUGACACGGACUGCCUGUACAUUAUGGUGUGCUCUCGAAGAGUCGAGUUGUUUGGGAAUGCAGCUCAAAAUGGGUGGUAAAUGCCAUCUAAAGCUAAAUAUUGGCGAGAGACCGAUAGCGAACAAGUACCGUGAGGGAAAGAUGGAAAGAACUUUGGAAAGAGAGUUAAACAGUACGUGAAAUUGCUGAAAGGGAAACGCUUGAAGUCAGUCGCGUUGGCUAGAAAUCAACCUUGCUUUUGCUUUGUGUACUUUCUGGUUGACGGGUCAGCAUCAAUUUUGACCACUGGAUAAAGUCUUUGGGAAUGUGGCAUCUUCGGAUGUGUUAUAGCCCAUUGUCGCAUACGGUGGUUGGGAUUGAGGAACUCAGCACGCCGCAAGGCCGGGUUUCGACCACGUUCGUGCUUAGGAUGCUGGCAUAAUGGCUUUAAUCGACCCGUCUUGAAACACGGACCAAGGAGUCUAACAUGCCUGCGAGUGUUUGGGUGGAAAAACCCAUGCGCGCAAUGAAAGUGAAAGUUGAGAUCCUCUUCAAAGGGGGAGCAUUGACGCCCGGACCAGACCUUUUGUGACGGAUCCGCGGUAGAGCAUGCAUGUUGGGACCCGAAAGAUGGUGAACUAUGCCUGAAUAGGGUGAAGCCAGAGGAAACUCUGGUGGAGGCUCGUAGCGAUUCUGACGUGCAAAUCGAUCGUCAAAUUUGGGUAUAGGGGCGAAAGACUAAUCGAACCAUCUAGUAGCUGGUUCCUGCC